AGAGGAGUCAAAGAGAAAAGACAGAACAAGAAAAUGCAGGUGGCACUGCCAGGAAGAAGCAUCCUUGGAAGAGCAAAUGCUAUGGUAAAAAACUAAAGGACAGGAGAGGUAGAUAUAUGGUGUGUUUGGCUGUUGUGGGAUUGAAGAUUCUCUUGCUGGAAAGGAGAAAGCUGGAGGGUUGGGUUCUGAUACUUUGAGUUAAAGUUUUCUUUUUUGCUUUCACUUUUGCUUCAAUGGAUGAGGAGAAGGUAAAGAGAAAUUUGCAGAUUAUAAGGGUUUGUUUGGUGCUGUCUGGGGAUUGGCAAAUGAAGUUGUAUACUUGUAUUAAAGAAAUAUAAAAUAGUAGCAUAUAUACUAGCAUUAUCCAAAUAAAAAAAUAUUAGUUAAGGGCUUAAGGCAAAAUAUUAUAGCACCUUUGUCAUUUUUUUGGCCUUCAAUACCAACCAGUCAACCACUUUAAUUAUCACAAACUGCCAUUUUUAAUGAAGCAAGCGUCAAGCGUGUGGCUCCUACAAUUUGAAAAAAUAAAAAUAAAAAU